rnacentral:lncRNA from 1 species
AGCAUGAAAAGAAGUUCCUUUUCUCUGAGACUAUCAAAACUACAUAAAUAUUUGAGUUUAACGAACCAUCCUCAACCUUCCAGAUAUGAAAAGACUUGGAAGGAAAUUAUAUUUUGCAGUUGUAAACUUAUCUCAGCAUGCUGGGAUUUCCACAUUUAAGUUCUAUUAAUGCUUUUCAAUGCCAGCAUGAAAACAUAUACCUUAGACAAUCUUCCUCAGUGGUAUUUCUUACAGGGAGCUGAUUAGACUAAAUAAAAUAAAGCAGUAAACUAAAUAGGCAAACCCUCUGUGGACACACACCGAAAAAGAACGUUCAAGUUGGUUUGUUUACUAUUUUCUUCUAUCAAUAUAUCUUAGGAAACCUACCGAGGAAUUACAGUACAAACAAGAAAAAUAAAGAGCCCUGAGGAAUAAGUGAUCAUUUUUCCUGCGUAUAUGAUUCCAAAUAGUUCACUUUAAUAGACAUUGAAAGACCGUUACUAUGCACUCUUAGCUGUAAAUCACUUAAUCCAUUCUUUCUAGUCAUCCAUUUUUUGUGUCAGGUUCGGAACAUAUGCACCAAACAGGUCCUACAAAUACAAAAGGUCCAUCGUUAUUGGUUUUGUGUUUUCAUUUACGACAUAAUUAAGUUAUAAAUGUUCUCCUAAUAGUGUGCGUUUUGG